AAACACCAGGCCUCACUGCCUGCCCUCCCCUCUAGCCUCCAGCACACCUGCAGAGCAUGGCAAGCACUCAACCCACAUACCAACACGGGGACAAAGGUCAGGCUCGGGUCAUCCCAGAAUGUGAUCUGAAAAAUGUGAAAAUCCUCGACGCCUCAAACGUGCAUUUGGAGAAACAAAUAAAAAAAAAAGCUGCUGAUCACUUGAGAGUUUGUAAAACCGCAGCGGCCGUUCGGAAGAUGGAUCUUAGCAGAGCGGGCCCGCUCUGUGCAUUUGGGCCUCGCCCGGUCGCUCUGAAAUGUUUCAAAAAA
ensembl:lncRNA